rnacentral:misc_RNA from 1 species
GAUGAAGACGCAGCGAAAUGCGAUAACUAAUGUGAAUUGCAGAAUUCAGUGAAUCAUCGAGUCUUUGAACGCACAUUGCGCCCCCUGGUAUUCCGGGGGGCAUGCCUGUCCGAGCGUCAUUGCUGCCCUCAAGCACGGCUUGUGUGUUGGGCUCCGUCCCCCCGGGGACGGGCCCGAAAGGCAGCGGCGGCACCGAGUCCGGUCCUCGAGCGUAUGGGGCUUUGUCACCCGCUCUGUAGGCCCGGCCGGCGCCAGCCGACAACCCAUCAUCCUUUUCAGGUUGACCUCGGAUCAGGUAGGGAUACCCGCUGAACUUAAGCAUAUCAAUAAGCGGAGGA